AAACUGUGUCAAUAAGUUGACCGAGCCUCACAGAAGUAGGAAGUCACAACUAAAAGCAGGCAUGGUCAACCCUUAAACAUAAACUGAUGGCAAUCAGAGCCAGAUUUAGAGUUUGGAAUGAAAACCAGUUUUAUUUUCUCCAGUGUAUUAUUCUACUUUACUAAAUGUAAGAGGGAAUAGGUUAUAUACUUAGAGCUUUGAUCCAUGAGCAUUGUUGCUAGUAGGUCUCCUGAUAGCUACAGGGAAACUUUCUCAGAAACUAAGUCUAUAGAGUAAUACUUGGUUAGCCCAUUCCCAAGACACCUUUAUCAUAGUAUCAGAAUCCUUGUUUUCCAGAUGAAGUAUUUCAGAUAUACACAAGUCACUUCCAGCUUCAUCCAUGUCCCUGCAAAGGACAUGAACUCAUUCUUUUUUAUGGCUGUAUAUUAUUCCAUGGUGUAUAUAUGCCACAUUUUCUUUAUCCAGUCUAUCAUUGGUGGGCAUUUGGGUUGGUUCCAAGUCUUUGCUAUUGUAAAUAGUGCUGUUGAUUUGCAUUUCUCUAAUGACCAGUGAUAAUAAGCUUUUUUUCAUAUGUUUGUUGGCACAUAAGUGUCUUCUUUUGAGAACUGUCUGCUCAUAUCCUUUGCCCACUUUCUGAACUAGAAAAAAGUACUUUAAAUUUCAUGAAACCCAAAAAGAGCCCAUAUAGCCAAGACAAUCCUAAGCAAAAAGGACAAAGCUGGAGGCAUCACGCUACCUGACUUCAAUCUAUACUACAAUGCUACAGUAACCAAAACAGCAUGGUACUGGUACCAAAACAGAAAUAUAGACCAAUGGAACAGAACAGAGGCCUCAGAAAUAAU
rnacentral:lncRNA from 1 species